ACUCAAAUGAAUAGACGGGGGCUUGCACAAGCGGUGGAGCGUGUGGCUCAAUUCGUCGCUAAGCGAAGAACCUUACCAAGGCUAGAAAUCCUACUGCACGCCUAUCGAAAGAUAGGAAGCCUUCGAGGGUGUAGGACAGGUGAUGCAUGGCUGUCGUCAGUUCGUGGUUUGAACCGUUCCCUUCAGUGGGGUAACGAACGCAACCCUCGUUGCCUGUUAUAAGUAUCAGGCGAGACUGCCCCCUCACGGGGGAGGAAGGUGAGGAUGACGCCAAGUCAGCAUGUCCCUCUGAUGCCUUGGGCUGCACACGCGCUACAAUCGCCACUACAGCGGGGCGCGACGUCGCAAGACCGAGCAAAUCCUUCAAAAGUGGCGCCAGUUCGGAUUGGGGUCUGCAACUCGACCCCAUGAAGCCGGAAUCGCUAGUAAUCGCGGGUCAGCCACACCGCGGUGAAUACGUUCUCAAGCCUUGUACACACCGCCCGU
rnacentral:rRNA from 1 species